UUGGUAGUCUAUUCUAAAUGUUCAAAUGUUAUCUUGUUAUAUUGGUUAAAGCUUUUAUUCAAUUUCAACUUGUCUGCAUUUCUAGGUAUUCUGGUACUUGCACUCACAACUUAAUAUGUUAUCAUCUUUUGCAGAUUGAUCCUUUUUUUCAAGCUUCAUGUGGCAGCCUCCUAAUGUUAAGCGUUACCAAGCUCCUUGUGGCAGCCUAGUGAUUGAUUAUGAAUGUGGCAGUAUAAAGAAUGCAGUUUGGAACUAGCUAGCAGAGCCAGUUGAGUACAUACUAGAUGACCAGUGGAAUAAGGCCAAGGCAAAGCUGCAGCCAACUUCAAGAAAGCGAAAAAGGCUGAAGUUUACUACAUACCACUGCACCCAAAAGGCCAAACCACAGAAAGCUUGGAAAACAACGAGAGGUCGUUGAACAGAGGCCCAUGAUAGAGGGAUUCAAAAACCGGUGGCCUGCCCUGUUCCAGCAGAGUGAAAUUAAUGAGGAGUUCUUGUGGAUCACUACAAAGCCACUGCAGUCAAAGUUUGUGUCACAACUGGACCACGUUUCACUCAAGCUGAU